rnacentral:lncRNA from 13 species
GGUUUUGGCAAACACAGUUGGACAGCAUGAUAAGAAUAAUUAUUUUAUUUACAGUGAUGCAGGCCCACAGUGCUAAAGGGAUGAUGAAGAUAUUUACAUAUGUACAGUCCAUGAAUGCAAGACAAAAUAGUUGUAGUUCAAAAAGGUUGUAAUUGACAAAUAAAGACAGGACAAAAAUGAUCCAAGUUACUUACUGUUACAACCCAGCAGCUAAAAGGGCAAGACACCCAAACACUGCAGAAAGACUCACACAAUACCUGAGAGUUAAAGCGACAGCACAUUGUCUAUACAUGAUCAGCCCUCUCGACUAGAAGAGCUUAAUUAAACCUGGAAUCCUUCAUUUGUGAAACUACCACGUCAGUUUGGGAUAUCACAACAACAAAGUUGGUGAAGAUAAUUCAACAUGUGAAUGCUCUGCUAGAAAAUGGGAGAAGUACCCAGCUCCAUCUCUUUCCCUCAAAAAGGCGCUGUGCUGCUCUGCACCCAUACUGCUCAACUCCUUCCAAUUCACCCCCCGUGACAGACUGCGGAUCAAGCCUGAUCUAUCCACCCAAACUGCCUGUCCUCAAAACUAAAGAUGAGACACUUGGUCAUUGCAUAAUCUCUCUGCAGCACUUAUUCUCUUUGGAGACAUUUGGUUUGUUUUACGAACACUUUGUUCAAAGGAUUACUUGAGCAAAGAUCUUAAAUAUUUACUCAAAACUGUAGCUGAUUCUCUGCAAAUAUAAAUCUUGCAUAACUUUAUGAAGUGAGAUGAAAUAUAUCCUUUUUACUCUGUUUUGCUUCAGGAUGAGGACUGCCUCUCUCUUGUUCAUAACAGAGCUACUAUGUGAGAUUCCAUUUUUAUGAUGUGCAGGGGCAAUUCCAUGGGAACGGAUUUGCGCUGAGAAUCAGAUUUUUCACUAAUGUACGCCAAACAAAACCCCUUGAUUUCAAAGUUGAACAAGCUCUUUGCACAAUGACUCCAUUUAGCAAUUUAGACUGAAAAAUGUACUAAAAAACAUUUACUGGAAGAACUUUGCCGUGCAAAUCUCCCUCAGUUUUUUGUUACCAC